rnacentral:tRNA from 2 species
GCGGUUGUGGCGGAAUGGCAGACGCGUCAGAUUAAGGAUCUGGUGGGAUAUUUUUCCCGUGCUGGUUCAAGUCCAGUCAGCCGCA